rnacentral:tRNA from 1 species
UGCAUCGGCCGGGAAUCGAACCCGGGCCGCUCGCAUGGCAGUCGAACAUUCUACCACUGAACCACCGAUGC